AUUGAACGCUGGCGGCAGGCCUAACACAUGCAAGUCGAACGGUAACAGGAAGCAGCUUGCUGCUUCGCUGACGAGUGGCGGACGGGUGAGUAAUGUCUGGGAAACUGCCUGAUGGAGGGGGAUAACUACUGGAAACGGUAGCUAAUACCGCAUAACGUCGCAAGACCAAAGAGGGGGACCUUCGGGCCUCUUGCCAUCAGAUGUGCCCAGAUGGGAUUAGCUAGUAGGUGGGGUAACGGCUCACCUAGGCGACGAUCCCUAGCUGGUCUGAGAGGAUGAACAGCCACACUGGAACUGAGACACGGUCCAGACUCCUACGGGAGGCAGCAGUGGGGAAUAUUGCACAAUGGGCGCAAGCCUGAUGCAGCCAUGCCGCGUGUAUGAAGAAGGCCUUCGGGUUGUAAAGUACUUUCAGCGGGGAGGAAGGCGAUGUGGUUAAUAACCGCGUCGAUUGACGUUACCCGCAGAAGAAGCACCGGCUAACUCCGUGCCAGCCGCCGCAGUAA
rnacentral:rRNA from 1 species